rnacentral:misc_RNA from 1 species
CUGAAAUGGGGGAAGGAUGAUGAGUUAUUAUCGGACUUGAGUAUAUUCUCAUCGAAAAAUCAAGAGAAGUUGAUGAAGAAAGCUAUGGUGGAGCAAGAGAAGAUCAAUAGAGAAGCUGAGAAGAUUGUUAAGUGGGCAAAACAAGCAUCUGCUAGGAUGGAUGUUUCUAGCAUUGAAGAUGAACUAAGUGAUGAGGACACUUUCAAAUGAAUGUCUUUUAUACUGCUUUACUAGUAAACUUCAUAAAAUGCUGCUUUAGUUUGUAACUUGAAUCCUAAGAACAACUAUGUAAAGAUGGGUUUUUUGUAAAAG